GCCGGAGGGCGGUGGAGGUUCGAUUCCUCCAUGG
rnacentral:tRNA from 14 species